rnacentral:rRNA from 1 species
GAGGAGCUUGCUCCUCUGACGUUAGCGGCGGACGGGUGAGUAACACGUGGAUAACCUACCUAUAAGACUGGGAUAACUUCAGGAAACCGGAGCUAAUACCGGAUAAUAUAUUGAACCGCAUGGUUCAAUAGUGAAAGACGGUUUUGCUGUCACUUAUAGAUGGAUCCGCGCCGCAUUAGCUAGUUGGUAAGGUAACGGCUUACCAAGGCAACGAUGCGUAGCCGACCUGAGAGGGUGAUCGGCCACACUGGAACUGAGACACGGUCCAGACUCCUACGGGAGGCAGCAGUAGGGAAUCUUCCGCAAUGGGCGAAAGCCUGACGGAGCAACGCCGCGUGAGUGAUGAAGGUCUUCGGAUCGUAAAACUCUGUUAUUAGGGAAGAA